rnacentral:rRNA from 1 species
GACGAACGCUGGCGGCGUGCUUAACACAUGCAAGUCGAACGGAAAGGCCCCUUUGGGGGUACUCGAGUGGCGAACGGGUGAGUAACACGUGAGUAACCUGCCCUUGACUUCGGGAUAACUUCAGGAAACUGGGGCUAAUACCGGAUAGGAAUCCUUUCUGCAUGGUGGGGGUUGGAAAGCUUCGGCGGUUUUGGGUGGACUCGCGGCUUUUCAGCUUGUUGGUGGGGUAGUGGCUUACCAAGGCUUUGUCGGGUGGCCGGCCUGGGGGGGCGACCGGCCACGUUGGGACUGAGGAACGGGCCCGGCCGCUACGGGGGGGCGGAGGGGGGGAUGUUGGCCCAGGGGCGGGAGGCUGAUGCAGCAACGGCGGGGGCGGGGUGACGGGCUUGGGGGUGUAAACCGGUUUCAGCAGGGGAGAAGGCUGUGGUGACGGUACCGGGAGAAGAAGCACCGGCUAACUACGUG